rnacentral:tmRNA from 1 species
CGUCGCUCGGCAUGGCACCAUCGUUAUCGGGCCAUUUUAGUAGUUGCAAAUGACAACUAUGCGGAAGUAGCUGUCGCUGCGUAAGCAGUCACACGACUUCAAUUUAAGUCCAUUGCCUUCGCAGGUGAUGGCGGGGUUCGGAAGGCACCUGGCAACAGAAGCCUUCCACU